rnacentral:rRNA from 1 species
CCGGAGCAUCGGAAGAGAGUUCGAUCAUGGCUCAGAUUGAACGCUGCGGAAGCGCAUGGCGCAAGUCGAACGGCAGCACGGACUUCGGUCUGGUGGCGAGUGUGGCGAACGGGUGAGUAAUGUAUCGGAACGCCCAGAAGUGGGGAUAACUACGCGAAAGCGUAGCUAAUACCGCAUUACCUUCGGGGAAAGUGGGGACCUUUCGGCUCGCACUAUUAGAGCGGUCGAUAUCGUGGAUUAGCUAGUUGCGGGGCAAACGGCCUACUGGCGCGAUCGAUCCGUAGUUGGUUUGAGAGGACGACCAGCUACACUGGGACUGAGACACGGCCCAGACUCACGGAGGUACAGUGGGGGGAAUUUUGGACAAUGGGGAAACCCCUGAUCCAGCCAUCCUGCUGCGAUGAAGGCCUUCGCCAGGUAAAUAACUUUGGCAGGAGGUGAAAUAGACGGGAUACUCCUGUGCAACUGACGGUACUGCAGAAUAAAGUUAACUGGUUAACUACGUGCCAGCAGCCGCGGUAAUACGUAGGUGCAGCAAUCGGAAUUACUGGGUAAAAGGCAGGUGGUUCGGCAAAGAUGUGAAAUCCCAGAGCUUGCACUUUGAACUCAUUUUUAACUACCGAGCUAGAGUGUGUCAGAGUGGAGGUAACCGCGUAGUAGUGAAUGCGCAGAUAUGGAGAACACCGAUGGCGAAGGCAGCCUCGGGAUAACACUGACGCUCAUGCACGAAAGCGUGGGAGCAAAACAGGAUCAGAUACUCCCGCAGUCCACGCCCUAAACGAUGUCAAUUCAGUUGUUAGUUUUUCGGGCCAGGUAGUGUAAAGCAUCAGUGUGGGAAGUUGACCGCCUUGGGGAGUACGGUCGCAAGAUUAAACUCAAAGGAAUUGACGGGGACCCGUACCAAGCGGUGGAUGAUGUGAUUAAUUUGAUGCAAUGCGAAAAACCCACCUAAAUUUCGAGAGGUUCUGAAUCCCGAAGAGAUUUAGAGUGCUUGCAAGAGAACCGAACACAGGUGCUGCAUGGCUGUCGUCAGCUCGUGUCGAGAUGUUGGGUUAAGUCCGCAACGAGCGCAACCUUGUCAUUAGUUGCCAUGAAAGGCAAUUUAAUGACUGCCGGGUGACAACCGAGGAAGGUGGGGAUGACGUCAAGUCCUCAUGGCCCCUAUGGGCAGGGCUUCACACGUCAUACAAUGGCCGGACAGAGGGUCGCUAACCCGCGAGGGAGCCAAUCCCAGAAACCCGAUCAAACUGGAUCAGCAGUCUGCAACUCGACCGCGUGGAAGUCGGAAUCGCUAGCAAUCGCGAUCAGCAUGUCGCGGUGAAUACGUUCCCGGUCUUGUACACACCGCCCGUCACACCAUGGGAGGUUUUACCAGAGCAGUUAGCUCACCGUAAGUGAUAUGACAUUACGGUAGGAUUCAUGAUCAAAGAAGUUGUAACAAGGUAAA